UUUGGAUUCAAGAAGAAGGAUCUGUAGGACAGUGGGCUCCCGGGUCUGCCUUUGCCCUCAUAGCCUGCAGCAGAGCAGGACGUUCGCUUUCCCUUCUCCGCCUGUGUGUUCUUCCUGCACUGCCUAACUGCUGCUUGCUCAUUUGUGCUUCCGUGUCACCCCUCCUCAGCCCUCUGAACUCUGCACGUCAGGACUUGGCACACUUCCUAACUGCUGCUUACUCAUUUGUACUUCCGCGUCACCCCUCCUCAGCCCUCUGAACUCUGCGCUUGGACUUGGUGUGACUUCCCUUCCCCGCCUAUUCUCUAGAGGCAGUCUCUUGGUGACUCCUGGUUUGGGUCAGGGCACGCCUUAGGUCUCUGGAUGGCUACCAACCCCAGGUUCCCUCAGCUCUAGCCCCAUAAGAGAGGAGGCCUCAGGAGCGCCUAGGGCAGCCCUUUCAGCCUGGGCUGUGGGAAGGGAAGGUGGACAGAGAGGAGACCCCAUGCCUUUGUUCCCUGUUGAUGCAGAAGCAUUCUAGGCUCUGUCCCUUAUUCCUGCUGUGGGCUGAAGCUUCAGGCAAGGUGCUCUACAAACUUCAGUUGCCUCAUCUAUCAAACAGUAACGUUUAACAUUCCAGAGACAGAAGUUGAUCUUUGGGACUUUUUUUGAUUUUAAGAUCUAGGCUGGCUGGGGCGGUGGCUCAUGCCUGUAAUCCCAGCACUUUGAGAGGCCGAGACCGGUGGAUCACGAGAUCAUCAGGAGAUGAGACCAUCCUGGCUAACAUGCCUGGCCUCCAGAGCUCUUGGACUGCAGCACCCAUAAUGAUGGCCAAAGCCGCCCCCACGGCGACUCCUCCUGCUGAAGCAAAGUCAGGCAGAACAAUAAGAUGAGCAUGGUGGUGCAGGCCUGUAAUCUCAGCUCCUCAGGCGGGAGGAUCACUUGAUCCCCGGAAGUUUGAAGCUGGACUGCGCUGACCGCACCUGUGAAUACCACUGCCCGUCAAUCAGCCUAGGGGAAACAUUCUCGAGUGCGAGCAUGACGGCUUAGGUUGAUGUUUUUCAAAUUUUCCCAAUGAUGAGUAUUGUAAGGGACCAAAAUAAAAAAAUGCCAAUGCCUAGUCCCCUCUCAUCUAGAAUAAUUCCAUAGGUGAUGAUGGGGUCCAGGACUCUGAAUUUCGUCAAUUUUACCAAAUACUUCGUCCAGUGAGGCAAAUAUGGAAACACUUGGAUCACCUCUUCGUGAACGCACAUCAGCGCAUACGCCGGCUGUUUUUAUCAGGCGCUCACCCCUCAUCCAAUGGCGUGACUAGUUGUGGGUGGAGCCCGAAAUCUGGCUGCCUAGAGAAGGCUGAAGGUCCAGUUAUAGCAUAACUAAUGUUUCCCCAGAGCUCACAUACGUGCCAAGCACCGUGCUACAGCCUCCACAGCCCCUUCAUUUAAUCUUCCCGAUGGGCCUAUGAAAUAGGUGCUCCUGGCCCGCACCGUGGCUCAUGCCUCUAAUCCCAGCACUUUGGGAAGCUGAGGAGGGAGGGUCGCUUGAGUCCAGGAUUUCAAGACCAGCCUGGGAAACACACAGAGAGCCUAUCUCUACGAAAAUUUAAAAAAUUAGCCGGGUGUGGUGAUGCCUGACUGUGGUCCCACCUACUUAGUAGGCUAAGGUGGGAGGAUCCUCUGAGCCCGGGAAGCUGAGGCUGCAGUUAGCACUGCACUCCAGCAUGGGCGACAGAGUGAGACCCUGACUCAAAAAAAAAAAAAAAAAAGAAUAGGUGCUACUUGUAGUUCCCAUUUUACCCACCAAGAAACUGAAGAUCUGAGAGACAAAGCCUACAGGGUGACCGCUAGUCACUGGUAGGGCUGGGAUUUGAACAGGGGCGGUUUAACAACUGAUCUCUCGACCAUAAUGCGUGUUGCCCAAGAAAAAAGACCGUCCUCACGGUCCUAUCCACUCCGGACUUUGCAAUUCCGUUAUUUCGUAAAUUGAGGCCUAUAAAUAGUUUGCUUACCCGUUGUCUUAGUCCCCAGUAACAUGCAGAACUAAAGAAGAAACUGAAGGAGCACCGAUUUUGUUCACCUUGCUUUUUGGUUUAGUUCUGGAGGAGAACACAGGUGCACUUAGAACAGGAUCCACACUUACCAGAGGCUUGAUUCAUUUUAGCUGCAAAGAAAACCAGUCCUCGUCUAC
rnacentral:lncRNA from 10 species